GUGCUUGCUUCAGCAGCACAUACACUAAAAUUGGAACAAUACAGAGAGAUUAGCAUGGUCCCUGUGCAAGGAUGACAUGCAACUUCAUGAAGCAUUCCAUAUUAAA
rnacentral:snRNA from 1 species